rnacentral:snRNA from 1 species
AUAUUUGCUCUUGGCACAAUGUCGUAGCUAGUGAGGUUCUAACCGAGGCGCGCCUAUUGUUGGUUGAAAACUAUUUUCAAACCCAAGCCACGGCCCUUGAGAGUGUCUGGAAGGGCUCCCUAUACGGGGGUGGUUAGAAGUGUUAUUUUACUAAGGCUAGU